GCGCGCCCGUGCCCGCGCCUGCGCCUCAGUCCCUGCCCUGCACCGGGAGCGCGCUGAGGGGCGGGGCCGGGCGGGGCGGGGGGCGGGGCCUCGCCUCAGGCUGCGCCGCCGCCGCCUCAGAUAACGUCUCCGAGCCCCCAAAACAAUGAAUUGUAAAGAAAAAGACCCCGAGGUAGGUCACACGUUAGCUGCAAAGCCCACGUCUCCUGUCCGGUCGCAGAGUUCCCACACACCGGCCCCGCUGGUGAGGUCCCCGCAGCCCCGGUGUUCGUCAGGACGAGCUGGGCAGUGGCAGCUGCAGAGAUACAGGAACACACAGCACCCAGAUGACUGGAGGAUAAUAAGGAUUUGAUUUCAGUCUCACAUUAUGGAAAACAUCAACCUCUGCUGUGUCUCCGUGUCCAAGAUUCAAAUUGCACCUUCACAUAAAGCAGCGUGUCGCUGCUAUCAACUUUCCCAUGGAAAUAUCUUUCCAGAAUGGGUAUUUUCCAUCUCCUUUACUAAUCCCAUUUUCUCAACAUAGCAACGUAGAGGGAAUUCCCUGUUUUCUGAAGUGACUGCUUUCUAUGAAUCACCCCUUCCCUGACACAUUACUCAGCUCCUACUGGGGAGGCACGGGAUUCUCAGUUCCACAUCAUCUGGGCAGAAGGCUCUUACCAGGGUAAAAAAUAUGCACAAAAAACAACUACUUGCUUUUUUUUUUUUUCUAUUAUAUAUACAAGAAAAAAAAUACUAUGAAUAAUGAUACUAAAAAAGAUCUCAGUAGAAACAUAUAAAAUCUGCUGGCAGUAUAUGACUAUUGUAUGACUACUGACAGUUAACUUUUUUUUCACAGCUGUUAGUAUCAAGGUCUUAACUUUUAAAUAGGCAGCACCAUGCAACAGAGCCAUUUUAAAGGUUUGCAGUACCUUACAUGGAGUGACUUUUACUAGAAAAAUAGGUCAAAAUGGGUCAGUAAGAAUGAUUUCCACAAGAGGGAGUCUUUAAACGGAAAAUGAUCUGACAGUUUUGACCCAGUUACAGCCUGUUUUUCUGUUUAAAAAAAAAAAAAAAUUCCUUUAAGCAUUUGGCAUUUUCCCAAAUAUUAUUAACACAGACAAUAACAUUUCCUUAACAGGUUUUAAAAUUACGACUGUUUAAAAUACCAAACAAAAAUCCACAGUUUUUAUUUAACGUUCCAUCUUGGUAGUUGAACAGUGUUGGCUUUCAUGUUUUCACGAGAUGCAAGUCAUGACACGUAGUGUUAUCGGUGAUGCCCUGGGAAGGAUGACAGCUUUCACAGCCUGCAAAGGGUACGAGGAGUUGGCUUGCCUUCUAUCUUCUUUUCCAGUGAAAAUUCCAAGCAGUCCUGGCCCUUUUCACUCUGCAGACAUCAAAAGUGCAUGAAGUUACCACAGAGUGCCCUGGGCUUUCCUGUAGAGCUGAACAACACCAUCACCUGGUUCAGAACUGCUUGCCUAAAGCAGGAGGGCAUUGCACCUCCUCUGUGACUAACAGGACAAGCACUUCUCCCCUCCAGUGGCCACAGAAUGUCUUCAGGAUUAAGGCAACAACUCUCCAAAUCACUUUAAUCUGAGGACUGGGUUGUGGAGAACAUACUUUAAUCCUGAACAGAAUGAAAAGCAGUUUUGGAAUAUAAUUAUUGUUAUUUCUUAUUCGCAACAAAGAAGAUUAGAAGCCGUUAUCUAACCAAAAUGGUAUUUUUUCAUCUGAAACUCAAAUUUCAGUGAUUUACUCUCACACGCAUUUUAUAUAUAACUGUCAUCAUUUGUCAGAUGAGCUAAGAGGCAAUACAGAUUUGCUUUAAAGGGUCUGGUUUUGAAUCAUUUUGUUUGUUUUUAUCAAAUACUCCUCUAAAGUUUAAAGCGCACAAAAGAUGGAAGCAAGACAGAAGACUGGAUAAUAGCAUCUAUAUUUCUUCUUUGAUUCUUUUAUUCUUGUGAGUGCUUGAAAGCUUGCAGCAGUUUUUCAACAACAGUUAUUGAGAAAAGGCUGACUUCAGCUCAUUCAUUCUGAACAUCUGGGCAGAACCUAACAACAGUAAUUAAAACCCACUAAAUUGGUAGCAAUACCAAAUUGCUGGAGAUGAAAUACUGCAUAUCGUCCCACCCUUCUUUGUGGAUUUCUGCUAGGUCAAUACAGCCUGCUCUUGGAGAUCCAUUUCUACGUGACUCUUUCUGAAGUUUCUGUCAAGAAAGAACAGCAUCCAAAUUUUCUGGUCACAUAAGCAUUGCUCUUGGAUUUAUUUUUUUUUACCACAAACCCCAGGAAAAAGUAAAGACUCAGAGUUAAUACGGCUGAUAGGUUUGUGGAUUCUGCUCUUUUCAAAUUAUAUACAAUAAUCUAUAAUAUCUGCUUCCUUGUUUCAGAUUGUAUCCUUGUUUAAAUACUUUUAAAGUAGUGCUUAAAUUACAUGUUAACAUUUGUGAAGAAUGUGGAACUGAACUGUGCAGAAAGUUACAGUCAUUUCUUACUCCACUUUCUUUAUACUGAGGAGAGCAGUGAGAAGGCUUGCUUUAACCAUUCUACUUGGUCAGAGCCAUCUCCAGGCCAGGAAGUUUUGAUUCCCCCACAGCCUGCUCAAUCCUUGAACAAGAUGAGUUGUCAGCAACCUCAGCAUCACUCUGCUAUCCCCAGAGUCACUGGGAGCAAAACAGAGCUCUUGAUUCUUAAAGCUGGCCCCAGGAAACGCAGACAUCCAUGGUCUUUAAUAACUGAAGGUGCAGCUUACUUAGCAUGCAUAUUUCUGAGACUGGAGGAAAAAAGUCACCGUACCGUUCUUCAGGACUCUGGCUGUCCCUCGUGACACAGCUCAGCCCGAGGACCAACGGAUAAUGAAAAAAGAAGAACACUUACGAUGUUUUCAGAGCAGAAGGGAACUGUAAUAUCUGCUUUAUAGCUGUUCCUAAGAGAAAUGCUUUGUGUUCCCUUUGCAAUGUGCUGUUUUAAAAUACUCCAAAAAGUGAUUUCUUCUGCAAAGCUUCUCUGAAUAUUAUAUCCCUCCUGGUAAAAACUGUCAGCAAUAUAUUAUUUUAACCCAACAUUAGGUUCUUUUCCUACUAUUGUUCUAGACACUCUCUGAAAAUGUAACAUUACUUAUUAUAUUUUCAAAAUUCUCUACCUUAGAUAUAAUAAACUGUACAGGAUCUCCCUCUCACA